rnacentral:rRNA from 1 species
AUACGGCGGGUGCAAGCGUUACUCGGAAUCACUGGGCGUAAAGCGCGCGCAGGCGGUCUUUUAAGUUGGAUGUGAAAGCCUACGGCUCAACCGUAGAACUGCAUCCAAAACUAUUAGACUAGAGUGUGGGAGAGGAAGAUGGAAUUAGUUGUGUAGGGGUAAAAUCCGUAGAGAUAACUAGGAAUACCAAAAGCGAAGGCAAUCUUCUGGAACACUACUGACGCUGAGGCGCGAAAGCGUGGGGAGCAAACAGGAUUAGAUACCCUAGUAGUCC